rnacentral:rRNA from 1 species
UGGGGAAUCUUAGACAAUGGGGGAAACCCUGAUCUAGCCAUGCCGCGUGAGCGAUGAAGGCCUUAGGGUUGUAAAGCUCUUUCAGCUGGGAAGAUAAUGACGGUACCAGCAGAAGAAGCCCCAGCUAACUCCGUGCCAGCAGCCGCGGUAAUACGGAGGGGGCUAGCGUUGUUCGGAAUUACUGGGCGUAAAGCGCACGUAGGCGGAUUAGUCAGUCAGAGGUGAAAUCCCAGGGCUCAACCCUGGAACUGCCUUUGAUACUGCUAGUCUUGAGGUCGAGAGAGGUGAGUGGAAUUCCGAGUGUAGAGGUGAAAUUCGUAGAUAUUCGGAGGAACACCAGUGGCGAAGGCGGCUCACUGGCUCGAUACUGACGCUGAGGUGCGAAAGCGUGGGGAGCAAAACAGGAUUAGAUACCCUGGUAGUCCACGCCGUAAACGAUGAAUGCCAGUCGUCGGGUUGCAUGCAAUUCGGUGACACACCUAAACGGAUUAAAGCAUUCCGCCUGGGGAGUACGGUCGCAAGAUUAAAACUCAAAUGAAUUGACGGGGUCAUAGCUGUUUCCUG